UACGUAGGGUGCGAGCGUUAAUCGGAAUUAUUGGGCGUAAAGCGUCCGCAGGUGGCACUUCAAGUCUGUCGUCAAAGACUGGGGCUUAACCCCGGAAAGGCGGUGGAAACUGAAGCGCUAGAGUGCGGUAGGGGUAGAGGGAAUUCCCGGUGUAGCGGUGAAAUGCGUAGAGAUCGGGAAGAACAUCGGUGGCGAAAGCGCUCUACUGGACCGCAACUGACACUCAGGGACGAAAGCUAGGGGAGCGAAUGGG
rnacentral:rRNA from 1 species